UACGUAGGCGGAAAAUUAAGUCAGUAGUGAAAUCCUGCAGCUUAACUGUAGAACUGUUAUUGAUACUGGUUUUCUUGAAUAUAGUUGAGGUAGGCGGAAUGUGUAAUGUAGCGGUGAAAUGCUUAGAUAUUACACAGAACACCGAUCGCGAAGGCAGCUUACUAAGCUAUGAUUGACGCUGAGGUACGAAAGCGUGGGGAGCGAACAGGAUUAGAUACCCUGGUAGUCC
rnacentral:rRNA from 1 species